GUGCUCGCUUCGGCAGCACAUAUGCUAAAAUUGGAACGAUACAGAGAAGAUUAGCAUGGCCCCUAAAAUACAAUGUAAUGUUGUUCAGAUCAAAACAUGUAU
ensembl:snRNA U6 U6 spliceosomal RNA